AAUGAACGCUGGCGGCGCGCCUAAUACAUGCAAGUCGAGCGAGAAGACGCAGCAAUACGUUUGUAAAGCGGCGAACGGGUGAGGAAUACAUGGGUAACCUACCCUCGAGUGGGGAAUAACUAGCCGAAAGGUUAGCUAAUACCGCGUACGCUUCUUGGACUUCGGUUCAGGGAGGAAAGCGAUACCGUGGGUAUCGCGCUCUUGGAUGGGCUCAUGUCCUAUCAGCUUGNGGUGAGGUAACGGCUCACCAAGGCUUUGACGGGUAGCUGGUCUGAGAGGACGAUCAGCCACACUGGCACUGCGACACGGGCCAGACUCCUACGGGAGGCAGCAGUAAGGAAUAUUGCGCAAUGGGCGAAAGCCUGACGCAGCGACGCCGCGUGGGGGAUGAAGGUCUUCGGGUUGUAAAGCUCUUUCGGACGGAACGAAAUGGUUAGGUCGAAUACGCCUGACUGAUGACGGUACCGUAAGAAGAAGCACCGGC
rnacentral:rRNA from 1 species